CUCACUCGCUCGCUUGCUGGCGCUCGCUCUCACCGGCUCAUAGUGAACGCGAAAGAAGGAAAGAAAGAAAGAUAAACAAAGAGAGAAAGGAAGAAAGUAAGAAAGAGAUAGAAGGGGAAAAAUAAAUAAAAAUAAGUAAAUUUUGAUAUAGGAAGAAUACAGACACAUUGGGGGAGACAGAGACACUUAAUAAGCAAACAGUGGAGAAAGAAAGAAAGAAAGAAAGAAAAUAGAGAUUGAGAGACACUGGAAAGCAAGAAUAAAGAAACAUUAA